GACGAACGCUGGCGGCGUGCUUAACACAUGCAAGUCGAACGGAAAGGCCCUGCUUUUGUGGGGUGCUCGAGUGGCGAACGGGUGAGUAACACGUGAGUAACCUGCCCUUGACUUUGGGAUAACUUCAGGAAACUGGGGCUAAUACCGGAUAGGAGCUCCUGCUGCAUGGUGGGGGUUGGAAAGUUUCGGCGGUUGGGGAUGGACUCGCGGCUUAUCAGCUUGUUGGUGGGGUAGUGGCUUACCAAGGCUUUGACGGGUAGCCGGCCUGAGAGGGUGACCGGCCACAUUGGGACUGAGAUACGGCCCAGACUCCUACGGGAGGCAGCAGUGGGGAAUAUUGCACAAUGGGCGGAAGCCUGAUGCAGCAACGCCGCGUGCGGGAUGACGGCCUUCGGGUUGUAAACCGCUUUCGCCUGUGACGAAGCGUGAGUGACGGUAAUGGGUAAAGAAGCACCGGCUAACUACGUGCCAGCAGCCGCGGUGAUACGUAGGGUGCGAGCGUUGUCCGGAUUUAUUGGGCGUAAAGGGCUCGUAGGUGGUUGAUCGCGUCGGAAGUGUAAUCUUGGGGCUUAACCCUGAGCGUGCUUUCGAUACGGGUUGACUUGAGGAAGGUAGGGGAGAAUGGAAUUCCUGGUGGAGCGGUGGAAUGCGCAGAUAUCAGGAGGAACACCAGUGGCGAAGGCGGUUCUCUGGGCCUUUCCUGACGCUGAGGAGCGAAAGCGUGGGGAGCGAACAGGCUUAGAUACCCUGGUAGUCCACGCUGUAAACGGUGGGUACUAGGUGUGGGGUCCAUUCCACGGGUUCCGUGCCGUAGCUAACGCUUUAAGUACCCCGCCUGGGGAGUACGGCCGCAAGGCUAAAACUCAAAGGAAUUGACGGGGCCCCGCACAAGCGGCGGAGCAUGCGGAUUAAUUCGAUGCAACGCGUAGAACCUUACCUGGGUUUGACAUGGAUCGGGAGCGCUCAGAGAUGGGUGUGCCUCUUUUGGGGUCGGUUCACAGGUGGUGCAUGGCUGUCGUCAGCUCGUGUCGUGAGAUGUUGGGUUAAGUCCCGCAACGAGCGCAACCCUUGUUCACUGUUGCCAGCACGUUAUGGUGGGGACUCAGUGGAGACCGCCGGGGUCAACUCGGAGGAAGGUGGGGAUGACGUCAAGUCAUCGUGCCCCUUAUGUCCAGGGCUUCACGCAUGCUACAAUGGCUGGUACAGAGAGUGGCGAGCCUGUGAGGGUGAGCGAAUCUCGGAAAGCCGGUCUCAGUUCGGAUUGGGGUCUGCAACUCGACCUCAUGAAGUCGGAGUCGCUAGUAAUCGCAGAUCAGCAACGCUGCGGUGAAUACGUCCCCGGGGCU
rnacentral:rRNA from 1 species